CCUACGGGAGGCAGCAGUGGGGAAUAUUGCACAAUGGAGGAAACCCUGAUGCAGCGACGCCGCGUGAAUGAAGAAGGGUUUCGGCAUGUAAAGCUCUAUCAGCAGGGAAGAAAAUGACGGUACCUGACUAAGAAGCACCGGCUAACUACGUGCCAGCAGCCGCGGUAAUACGUAGGGGGCAAGCGUUAUCCGGAUUUACUGGGUGUAAAGGGAGCGGAGGCGGUUUAGCAAGUCAGAAGUGAAAGCCCGGGGCUCAACCCCGGGACUGCUUUUGAAACUGUUGAACUAGAUUGCAGGAGAGGUAAGUGGAAUUCCUAGUGUAGCGGUGAAAUGCGUAGAUAUGAGGAGGAACACCAGUGGCGAAGGCGGCUUACUGGACUGCAAAUGACGCUGAGGCUCGAAAGCGUGGGGAGCGAACAGGAUUAGAUACCCGGGUAGUC
rnacentral:rRNA from 1 species